rnacentral:misc_RNA from 1 species
UUGUGGAGGAGGACGCCGAAGGUGGGGCUAAUGACUGGGGUGAAGUCGUAACAAGGUAGCCGUACCGGAAGGUGCGGCUGGAUCACCUCCUAACAGGGAGACAACAAAAUGUUAAAUAUUAAUUUUGUCACCUUAGGUCGAUCGGUAUCUCACAUUCUUAAUCUAUUUAAGGAUUUUAUUUCCUAAGUUUUUUCUAGGUCACACCCAUUACUUUUCCUGGGCCAUUAGCUCAGGUGGUUAGAGCGCACCCCUGAUAAGGGUGAGGUCCCUGGUUCAAGUCCAGGAUGGCCCAUAUCUCUAUGUUGGGGGUAUAGCUCAGUUGGUAGAGCGCCUGCUUUGCAAGCAGGAUGUCAGCGGUUCGAGUCCGCUUACCUCCACUGAUCACCACCUCUUCCAUAAAUAUAGAAGGGAAAUGUUUUGAGUAGUGAUCAAAUUCUGAACGAAUCUAGCUUCCUAAUUUAACUAAUUAAGAUGCUGGACUCAUUGAAUUAAUUUUCAUUGUUUUCAGAGAACCUUGACAACUGCAUAGAUUAUUUUUAAAGACAAUAAGCAUCUUUAAUGAUGCAGAUUUAUUAUUUUUGCUAAUGCAUUAAUAACAAUUCUAUUAAGCUGAUGCUUCAAAUUUUGAAGUUAUUGGUCAAGCUACAA